UGGGACAAAUUACCAUGGGCCAAAAC
rnacentral:piRNA from 1 species